rnacentral:misc_RNA from 1 species
GAACGCAUCUUGCGCUUGCUGGUAUUCCGGCAAGCAUGCCUGUUUGAGUGUCAUGAAAAUUAUCAACCAUCCCUUGGGUUUAGGCCCCUGUGUUUGGCUUGGAUGUGGGUGCUUGCGGUCUCUUGAGGCUGCUCACCUUAAAAGGAUUAGCUGGACAUGUCGUGAGACUUGGUUCUACUUGGCGUAAUAAGUAUUUCGCUGAGGACAUCCCAUGGGAUGGCCAAGACUCUGGUUGCAAACGUCUGCUUUCUAACCCCCACGCUCUUCGGACGUGAACUUUUAUGAUCUGGCCUCAAAUCAGGUAGGACUACCCGCUGAACUUAA